CCUACGGGAGGCAGCAGUGGGGAAUAUUGGACAAUGUGGGCAACCCUGAUCCAGCCAUGCCGCGUGUGUGAAGAAGGCCCUCGGGUUGUAAAGCACUUUCAGUGAGGAAGAACGCCUGGUGGUUAAUACCCAUCAGGAAAGACAUCACUCACAGAAGAAGCACCGGCUAACUCCGUGCCAGCAGCCGCGGUAAUACGGAGGGUGCGAGCGUUAAUCGGAAUUACUGGGCGUAAAGCGCGCGUAGGUGGCUUGAUAAGCCGGUUGUGAAAGCCCCGGGCUCAACCUGGGAACGGCAUCCGGAACUGUCAAGCUAGAGUGCAGGAGAGGAAGGUAGAAUUCCCGGUGUAGCGGUGAAAUGCGUAGAGAUCGGGAGGAAUACCAGUGGCGAAGGCGGCCUUCUGGACUGACACUGACACUGAGGUGCGAAAGCGUGGGUAGCAAACAGGAUUAGAUACCCCUGUAGUC
rnacentral:rRNA from 1 species